UACAGAGGUCCCAAGCGUUGUUCGGAUUUACUGGGCGUAAAGGGUGCGUAGGUGGUCGGGUAAGUCUCAUGUGAAAUCCCGCAGCUCAACUGCGGAAGGGCAUGGGAUACUAUUCGGCUCGAGGAUUGGAGGGGGGACUGGAAUUCCCGGUGUAGCAGUGAAAUGCGUAGAUAUCGGGAGGAACACCAGUGGCGAAGGCGAGUCCCUGGACAAUUCCUGACGCUGAGGCACGAAAGCCAGGGGAGCAAACAGG
rnacentral:rRNA from 1 species